AUUGAACGCUGGCGGCAUGCUUUACACAUGCAAGUCGAACGGUAACAGGUUAAGCUGACGAGUGGCGAACGGGUGAGUAAUGCAUCGGAACGUGCCCGGUCGUGGGGGAUAACGCAGCGAAAGCUGCGCUAAUACCGCAUACGAUCUGAGGAUGAAAGCGGGGGACCGUAAGGCCUCGCGCGAUCGGAACGGCCGAUGUCAGAUUAGGUAGUUGGUGGGGUAAAGGCUCACCAAGCCAACGAUCUGUAGCUGGUCUGAGAGGACGACCAGCCACACUGGGACUGAGACACGGCCCAGACUCCUACGGGAGGCAGCAGUGGGGAAUUUUGGACAAUGGGCGAAAGCCUGAUCCAGCAAUGCCGCGUGCAGGAAGAAGGCCUUCGGGUUGUAAACUGCUUUUGUACGGAGCGAAAAGGUCUCCUCUAAUACAGGGGGCUCAUGACGGUACCGUAAGAAUAAGCACCGGCUAACUACGUGCCAGCCGCCGCAGUAA
rnacentral:rRNA from 1 species